GAUGAACGCUCGCUACAGGCUUAACACAUGCCAGUCGAGGGGCAGCGGGAUUGAAGCUUGCUUCAAUUGCCGGCGACCGGCGCACGGGUGAGUAACGCGUAUCCAACCUUCCGCACACUCAGGGAUAGCCUUUCGAAAGAAAGAUUAAUACCUGAUGGUAUGAUGAGAUUGCAUGAUAUCAUCAUUAAAGAUUUAUCGGUGUACGAUGGGGAUGCGUUCCAUUAGGUAGUAGGCGGGGUAACGGCCCACCUAGCCAACGAUGGAUAGGGGUUCUGAGAGGAAGGUCCCCCACAUUGGAACUGAGACACGGUCCAAACUCCUACGGGAGGCAGCAGUGAGGAAUAUUGGUCAAUGGACGAGAGUCUGAACCAGCCAAGUAGCGUGAAGGAGGAAGGUCCUACGGAUUGUAAACUUCUUUUAUAAGGGAAUAAACCCUCCCACGUGUGGGAGCUUGUAUGUACCUUAUGAAUAAGCAUCGGCUAACUCCGUG
rnacentral:rRNA from 1 species